CAGCAGCCGCGGGAAUACGGAGGGUGCAAGCGUUAAUCGGAAUUACUGGGCGUAAAGCGCACGCAGGCGGUCUGACAAGUCAGAUGUGAAAUCCCCGGGCUUAACCUGGGAACUGCAUUUGAAACUGUCAGGCUGGAGUCUUGUAGAGGGGGGUGGAAUUCCAGGUGUAGCGGUGAAAUGCGUAGAGAUCUGGAGGAAUACCGGUGGCGAAGGCGGCCCCCUGGACAAAGACUGACGCUCAGGUGCGAAAGCGUGGGGAGCAAACAGGAUUAGAUACCCGAGUAGUCCCUGUCUCUUAUAA
rnacentral:rRNA from 1 species